UACGGAGGGUGCAAACGUUGCUCGGAAUCAUUGGGCGUAAAGCGCACGUAGGUGGCCUGUUAAGUCGGGUGUGAAAUCCCUGGGCUCAACCCAGGAAGUGCACUCGAAACUGGCAGGCUUGAGUACUGAAGAGGGUCGCGGAAUUCUCGGUGUAGAGGUGAAAUUCGUAGAUAUCGAGAGGAACACCGGUGGCGAAGGCGGCCAACUGGACGAAUACUGACGCUGAGACACGAAAGCGUGGGGAGCAAACAGG
rnacentral:rRNA from 1 species